AUUGGCCUCAAACAGCUCUUCAGAAACAGAUUGGUGACGUCACGGAUCCUAAGUCCAUAUUUUAUACAGUCUAUGGUCCCAAACUGCGGACUGUUGUCAGGUUUGAACCCAGAGGGAGAUUACAGCAGCUUCAUGAAAGCCACAGAGUUGGAUUUCUGUGCACAUAUCACUCUUUCAUCCUGCCUUUGAACCCAGAUUGCAUCAACGCUUCGCGUGGCACACUUGAUUAUUCCUGACAGGGAUCAGGGUCAUAAAUGUAUUAUUUCAAAAGCAACCUUUAAUAGAGCUUUAAGAAAAUAUAUCAAAUGCAAUCAGCCGUAUUAUUUGAGAUUUAGUCAUCUUAAAAUGUGCACUGAUAGUAUAACCACAUUCGCUAAUUUUUAUGCCUCAUUUCAUCCCUGUUUGUUAUUCUAAUGGACACUACAUUCACCUUGUCUAAUGUUACCUCCAAUGGAAAUGUUCAGUUUGAUGUGAAUUAUGACAAAUAAGCAGGAUAAUGUUCUGAUUUGACUGUGAAUUGAAAUGAUCAGUGUAAUGUUAGGAGGCUCUUUGAUAUGGGAGCGUGACCAACCAUGGAAUCAGAGGGUCUAUUUUUGUAGUUGUAUACAUAAAUAGUUUUUUAAAUAAACAAAAUCAUUUCUAAAUCAA